rnacentral:lncRNA from 1 species
CGUUAGUUACAAUUGUUUUUAGAUAGACCACCUAUUUGCAUCCAUCUUUAAGAUGGAUCUUUUAUACUUCUAGACCGAAUAUUGUAAAAACGUGAUCCAACCCACGCGAAACAAUUUUCUUUAUAGUCUUGGGAGAAGAAAUCUUGGUAAACUAUGGGUGCAUUUUGUGAAAAUCGUGAAAGUUUUAUGAUGAUAAAGAAUCAAUAGUGUAAUAAGCUUUGUUGACCACGUCAUUGGGCUCUGGAUACCUGUUGUGGGAUGGGCUUAGCUCAUGAGCCUUCUUCCGCUCUGGAUCCCAGUGUGGGGUUGGGCUUUGCUAAUGAGCCAAUAGGCCUAGCUUGGGCCAAAAGCUUAUCAGUUACUAAUUUUUCCAAUUGAAAACAUAUAAAAUAGAAAAGUAUAUAAAGAGAUUAUUUACUUUUAAUACGAGUCACAAUGACGUAUGUUUGUCAGAUAUAAAAUGAGGUGGAAGUGAAUGUGUCAUUGACUAUAAUCAAAGUUCAAAAAAAGAAGAAGAAGAAAAUUUUGACUUUGUAACACUCAAAGACACCUAGUUAGACAUCUAAUGACUUGUAGCAAUCGCUACCUUCGUAUAAUAAAGAUAAACUGUCACAUAGUAUACCAUCUUUAUAUAUAUAUAUAUAUAUAUAUAUAUAUAUAUGAUUGCAACCAUGUAGUUAUUUUUGAAGUUCAACCUCAAGAUCGUCAAUGUCAAUGACUAGAUCCAAAGUUCAAAAAAUAAUUUAUUGAUCUUUGUGACAGACCUCAAGCUAUCUAAUUUGACAUCUAAUGGCAAGUAACAAUUAUGACCAUGCACCAAAGAUAAAUGGCCUCAUAGGAGAUAAUCGCAUUCGAUAAAGGUAACUUAUUAGUCUUUAAUAUGAAAAGAAUUACUCAUUUAUUUAAAGAACUUUCCCCAUCCCUUGAAAGGAAUAGUUAUUUUUAGGGUGAAAUGAUAAGUCUAGAUAAUUUGUUACAAUAUAUAUUAUUCAUAGAGUUUGAAAUCCUAAUUCUUUUGGGAUUGUAUAUAGUGAGACCAUUUAUCUUUGAUACAAAGUAAUCAUAAUUCUUACAACCAUUUGAUGUGAAAUUUGAUAGUUUGGAUGUGACACAAAGUUCGAAAACAUUUCUUUUGAAGUUUGAGCUUGGUCAAUAGAAUAAUUGUAACCGCCCAAUGUCACAUCUAAUGGUCAAGACUAAUGUGACCACCUUGUAUCAAAGGCAAAUGGUCUCAUUCUAUACUUUUUCAAUGUUUUUUCACAACCAUAAUGUUCAAGCACAAUACAUUACGGCAUUUAGAGUCUAUCAAACCAUUUUCCUUCAGGGGCCGUUUGGAAACCUGGAAAUAUAUUGUCUAUGAAAUAUAUUACUGCCAUAAUAGAUUACGGCGUAAUACAUUACCUGCAAAUGGAUUGUCACUGUUUGGAUAACCUUUAGAUGUAACUUGGGAAAUACAUCGCUACUGUUUGGCUAUGUCCAGAAGAAAUAUGGGAAAUGCAUUACCAACAUUUUUUUUGUUCUUUUUUGGCUUUAUACCAAAAAC